UACGUAGGGUGCAAGCGUUGUCCGGAAUUAUUGGGCGUAAAGAGCUCGUAGGCGGUGUGUCACGUCGGCCGUGAAAACCUGCAGCUUAACUGUGGGCGUGCGGUCGAUACGGGCAUCACUGGAGUUCGGCAGGGGAGACUGGAAUUCCUGGUGUAGCGGUGAAAUGCGCAGAUAUCAGGAGGAACACCGGUGGCGAAGGCGGGUCACUGGCCCGAUACUGACGC
rnacentral:rRNA from 1 species